rnacentral:rRNA from 1 species
UGUGUAGGCGGCUUGAUAAGUCAGUUGUUAAAUUUUCCGGCUUAACCGGGAGUGUGCGAUUGAAACUGUCAGGCUAGAGUGCGGGAGAGAAAGGUAGAAUUCUCGGAGUAGCGGUAAAAUGCGUAGAUCUCGAGAGGAAUACCGGUUGCGAAGGCGGCCUUUUGGCCCGUUACUGACGCUGAAAUACGAAAGCGUGGGGAGCAAACAGGAUUAGAUACCCUGGUAGUCC